AUGGCUUGGGCCUUCGGCACCAUGGCGGCAUCAGUUUGCACGUUGUCGCUCCACUUGUAUUGCUGGUUGCAAAAUAGUGAAAAUUUCUCUAGCGUUGUGGGAGCUGCUGCUGUUGCAUUUAAAUUGGUUUGUCCAAAUCGACAGUCCGAGGCUCCAGCGGAUGCAGUCGCAACCCCACCUCUAGAUCAGCUCACCACCCAACCAGUUACACUCAGUUAUGUGACAGUUUUGAUUCAUUCUACAGAAUUAUUGGAACUCUGGAAUGACCAAAUCUCAAUUCUGCUUCAAAGUUGA
rnacentral:rRNA from 1 species